CCACACCUCACUGCAGAGGCUUUAACUGAGGCCAGCAGCCAGCGAGUUCUCCCUUUUCUCCUACAUGCCUACAUGCAAAGCUAUGCUUCUGCAAAAUGGCUGAAGAUGCUGACUGGUGACAUACUACACCUUGCAAAACAAGUAUACAGGGUAACAGCUAAUGGAAGGAGAGAAAUAUGAGUUACAUUAGUCGUGUACAAGCUGAGAGUCUCUCCAAGCAAGAGAAAAAUCUCUCUGUAAGUGUCAGGUUUUGUUCCUGUACAAGCAGAUUUUAUUUUGAAGAACCACAUGAUGUAUUGUUCAACCCAAAGUAUUUCUUGCGAACUUCCAGCAUUAUCAAAGACUUUUUAUUCCUACUUUCCAGGACAACCAAAUAAGGAAGUAUCUACUUGAAAACCUGGAAUGCUGAUUGUACUCAAAGAAAAGAUGGAGUCUGAAGAAAAUGCUGAGUCAACCGUACAAGAACAAGGGGUCCACCUUCUUCAUGAGGUUGCAGAAGGCACUACAAGAAAGGAGAUAGCACCACGGGAUAAAACCAAGGAACAGCAAUCAUUAUGGAUAAAGAUAAUUAUAGGUGCAGCUGUCCUGCCAGUUGCGUACCUUGCUCUCUUCUUUAUAACUACAGACUUUAUCUUGCAU